GACGAACGCUGGCGGCGUGCCUAAUACAUGCAAGUCGAACGAACUCUGGUAUUGAUUGGUGCUUGCAUCAUGAUUUACAUUUGAGUGAGUGGCGAACUGGUGAGUAACACGUGGGAAACCUGCCCAGAAGAGGGGGAUAACACCUGGAAACAGAUGCUAAUACCGCAUAACAACUUGGACCGCAUGGUCCGAGUUUGAAAGAUGGCUUCGGCUAUCACUUUUGGAUGGUCCCGCGGCGUAUUAGCUAGAUGGUGAGGUAACGGCUCACCAUGGCAAUGAUACGUAGCCGACCUGAGAGGGUAAUCGGCCACAUUGGGACUGAGACACGGCCCAAACUCCUACGGGAGGCAGCAGUAGGGAAUCUUCCACAAUGGACGAAAGUCUGAUGGAGCAACGCCGCGUGAGUGAAGAAGGGUUUCGGCUCGUAAAACUCUGUUGUUAAAGAAGAACAUAUCUGAGAGUAACUGUUCAGGUAUUGACGGUAUUUAACCAGAAAGCCACGGCUAACUACGUGCCAGCAGCCGCGGUAAUACGUAGGUGGCAAGCGUUGUCCGGAUUUAUUGGGCGUAAAGCGAGCGCAGGCGGUUUUUUAAGUCUGAUGUGAAAGCCUUCGGCUCAACCGAAGAAGUGCAUCGGAAACUAGGAAACUUGAGUGCAGAAGAGGACAGUGGAACUCCAUGUGUAGCGGUGAAAUGCGUAGAUAUAUGGAAGAACACCAGUGGCGAAGGCGGCUGUCUGGUCUGUAACUGACGCUGAGGCUCGAAAGUAUGGGUAGCAAACAGGAUUAGAUACCCUGGUAGUCCAUACCGUAAACGAUGAAUGCUAAGUGUUGGAGGGUUUCCGCCCUUCAGUGCUGCAGCUAACGCAUUAAGCAUUCCGCCUGGGGAGUACGGCCGCAAGGCCGAAACUCAAAGGAAUUGACGGGGGCCCGCACAAGCGGUGGAGCAUGUGGUUUAAUUCGAAGCUACGCGAAGAACCUUACCAGGUCUUGACAUACUAUGCAAAUCUAAGAGAUUAGACGUUCCCUUCGGGGACAUGGAUACAGGUGGUGCAUGGUUGUCGUCAGCUCGUGUCGUGAGAUGUUGGGUUAAGUCCCGCAACGAGCGCAACCCUUAUUAUCAGUUGCCAGCAUUAAGUUGGGCACUCUGGUGAGACUGCCGGUGACAAACCGGAGGAAGGUGGGGAUGACGUCAAAUCAUCAUGCCCCUUAUGACCUGGGCUACACACGUGCUACAAUGGAUGGUACAACGAGUUGCGAACUCGCGAGAGUAAGCUAAUCUCUUAAAGCCAUUCUCAGUUCGGAUUGUAGGCUGCAACUCGCCUACAUGAAGUCGGAAUCGCUAGUAAUCGCGGAUCAGCAUGCCGCGGUGAAUACGUUCCCGGGCCUUGUACACACCGCCCGUCACACCAUGAGAGUUUGUAACACCCAAAGUCGGUGGGGUAACCUUUUAGGAACCAGCCGCCUAAGGUGGGACAGAUGAUUAGGGUG
rnacentral:rRNA from 1 species